UACAGAGGGGGCAAGCGUUGUUCGGAAUUACUGGGCGUAAAGGGCGCGUAGGCGGCCUUCUAAGUCGAACGUGAAAUCCCCGGGCUCAACCCGGGAACUGCGUCCGAUACUGGAAGGCUUGAAUCCGGGAGAGGGAUGCGGAAUUCCAGGUGUAGCGGUGAAAUGCGUAGAUAUCUGGAGGAACACCGGUGGCGAAGGCGGCGUCCUGGACCAACACUGACACUGAGGAGCGAAAGCCAGGGGAGCGAACGGG
rnacentral:rRNA from 1 species